rnacentral:rRNA from 1 species
CAGUCGCCGCGGGAAUACAGAGGGUGCGAGCGUUAAUCGGAUUUACUGGGCGUAAAGCGCGCGUAGGUGGUUUGUUAAGUUGGAUGUGAAAGCCCCGGGCUCAACCUGGGAACUGCAUCCAAAACUGGCAAGCUAGAGUACGGUAGAGGGUGGUGGAAUUUCCUGUGUAGCGGUGAAAUGCGUAGAUAUAGGAAGGAACACCAGUGGCGAAGGCGACCACCUGGACUGAUACUGACACUGAGGUGCGAAAGCGUGGUGAGCAAACAGGAUUAGAUACCCCCGUAGUCCCUGUCUCUUAUAC